ACUGCUAUGAGAAAACAAGAGCUGAAAUGCCGAUGGUGGAAGGGAACAGGUGGGGUACUGUCCCAGAGGUGGCGUCAAGCCAGGCUUGGGCUAGAAAAAGCCACAUCCCAGUCCCACCUAAGGAAUGUCCUUGGGAGUGCUCAGAUGCCAGAAAAGCCACUCUCCCACUUCCAGGAUGAUGGGUGGGUGGGGGAAGGGAGAGAUUCAGCUGCUGCCCAAAGCUCAUGGGAAAUGGAGCCAGCUGGAGUUUUAACAGGAGAGUGAGGCCCUGAUCCAACACUGGCCAGGGAGAGCUUGUGACUCCCCAGGUCUGUGCAUGGGGAGAGCCAUAAAGAUUCUGGCUGUGGAGAUGUACAAGGCAGCGUUCCUCUGGUGAGCAAACUCCCGGAGGAUAACAGGUGCCCUGUUUUUCACACUUGGAAUAUUCCACAGUUUCUCCCUGGAACCCGUAAGAUGACUCAUACAUGCUCAGAGCCUAGCUGCUAUGGUAAUGUCCUUGGUGAGGAGGCUCUGUGCUAGAGUCUUAUCAUCCUCAACCUUGGUCUCAGACACUCAGCUUCUGGGGCUAAAGGAGCUCUCUCAGACAACACCAUGUGCCCCUGCGCCUACACCUGCCCACAGGACAGUAACUUUAUACAACGAGCAUACGUUCUUAUGAUGCCAACGGGGCUAAUGUAACCUAUGGAUAUCAAUAAAGCUGGCAGCUCAGCGAGCAGCCCUUUUACUUCGCCCCUCCCCUGCUGGCUUCUCUGUCUCUCUUUGUGUUUUCUUUAGAGAGAGCGCCACAGCAAAUCUGACUUUACUCCGAGACUCGACCAAGGUGGAUGGGUCCUUAAGAUUAUCUCACCCAACCCCUGAUUUUGUCAAGAAGCCUAGAGAAGGUCAGCGAGUGAUCUUCCUAAAGUCACACAGGAGGUCAGCGACCAAAGCAGAGGUUGAACCAGGCCCAAGCCCUGAACAGCUGGUUUCCCUCUUCGGUGCUGCAGCUCACUGCCAGGCUUUCAAGCUCCGAAUUGAACUCGGAUGCUUAACCAUGGAGCCACAUCUCCAGCCCUUUCUUCCUGAGAGAGAGUCUCAUGGAGUCAAUUUGUAGAUGGCUUUGAGUGCUGCCAUUUUUCCAGGGUGCUUGGGAUUGAACCCAUUAUACCUUCAAGG